rnacentral:rRNA from 1 species
GACGAACGCUGGCGGCGUGCCUAAUACAUGCAAGUCGAACGCAUUUUCUUUCACCGUAGCUUGCUACACCGAAAGAAAAUGAGUGGCGAACGGGUGAGUAACACGUGGGUAACCUGCCCAUCAGCGGGGGAUAACACUUGGAAACAGGUGCUAAUACCGCAUAAUUCCAUUUACCGCAUGGUAAAUGGAUGAAAGGCGCUUUUGCGUCACUGAUGGAUGGACCCGCGGUGCAUUAGCUAGUUGGUGGGGUAACGGCCUACCAAGGCUGCGAUGCAUAGCCGACCUGGGAGGGUGAUCGGCCACACUGGGACUGAGACACGGCCCAGACUCCUACGGGAGGCAGCAGUAGGGAAUCUUCGGCAAUGGACGCAAGUCUGAACGAGCAACGCCGCGUGAGUGAAGAAGGUUUUCGGAUCGUAAAACUCUGUUGUUAGAGAAGAACAAGGAUGAGAGUGGAAAGUUCAUCCCUUGACGGUAUCUAACCAGAAAGCCACGGCUAACUACGUG